GGAGCUAUGGCAAACAUGGAGAUCUGGUAAUGUACCUGGUAAAGCACCAGGGGCUGUACCUCGCAAAUAAGCUGCAAUGUCCUUAACACACCCAAGUUGCAUAGGCUUACUCACACCCCCACAGCCACCCGUGGGAUGCUGAUGUUGAUAUGUUGUCAUGUGUCGUGUGACAUGCUAUUGUGGGGACAUAUUGUCGCUCUGAACUGGAAAUAAUGUGGAUCUAAUGUUACUAAAAAUGCUUGUCUGU